GACGAACGCUGGCGGCGUGCUUAACACAUGCAAGUCGAACGGGAGUAUUGUAGAAGCCUGCUUUAGAGAUACUUUAGUGGCGGACGGGUGAGUAACGCGUGAGGAGCUGUCCGAUGCAGGGGGACAACAGUUGGAAACGACUGCUAAUACACCAUAAGCCGAGAGGUAAAAGGAUUUAUCCGGCAAUGGAGGUACUCGCGUCCUAACAGCUAGUAGGUGAGGUUACGGCUCACACAGGCGAAGACGGGUGGCCCGCCAGAGAGGGCGAACGGCCACACUGGAACUGAGAUACGGUCCAGACUCCGACGGGAGGCAGCAGUGGGGAAUAUUGGGCAAUGGGGGGAACCCUGACCCAGCGACGCCGCGUGGGUGAAGAAAUCCUUCGGGAUGUAAAGCCCUGUUGUAUGGGAAGAGUAGAAGACGGUACCAUACGAGGAAGCCCCGGCAAACUACGUGCCAGCAGCCGCCGUAA
rnacentral:rRNA from 1 species